rnacentral:misc_RNA from 1 species
GAUGAAGAACGCAGCGAAAUGCGAUAAGUAAUGUGAAUUGCAGAAUUCAGUGAAUCAUCGAAUCUUUGAACGCACAUUGCGCCCGCCAGUACUCUGGCGGGCAUGCCUGUUCGAGCGUCAUUUCAACCCUCAAGCCCCCGGGCUUGGUGUUGGGGAUCGGCGUGCCCUCGCGGCGCGCCGUCCCCUAAAUCUAGUGGCGGUCUCGCUGUAGCUUCCUCUGCGUAGUAGCAACACUCGCACUGGAUCGCAGCGCGGCCACGCCGUUAAACCCCCCACUUCUGAAAGUUUGACCUCGGAUCAGGUAGGAAUACCCGCUGAACUUAAGCAUAUCAAUAAGCGGAGGA